rnacentral:rRNA from 1 species
GCAAGUCGACUGGAAUUCUUCUUCGGAAGAUAGUACGGUGGCGGACGGGUGAGUAACGCGUAAAGAAUUAGCCCUUCAGCCUGGGACAACUACUCGAAAGGUUAGCUAAUACCGGAUAUUAUGAGACCUUGGCAUCAAGGACUUAUGAAAGCUAUAUGCGCUGAAGGAGAACUUUGCGUUCCAUUAGGUAGUUGGUAGGGUAAUGGCCUACCAAGCCGACGAUGGAUAGCCGGUCUGAGAGGGUGAAC